UCGAGGAUAUUUUUCAAUGGGCGCAAGCCUGAAAAUGCGACGCCGCGUGCAGGAUGAAGGCCUUCGGGUUGUAAACUGCUUUCAGGUCGGACGAAUACCUGUCUGUCUAAUAAACGGAUCGGUUGACGGUACGACAAGAAGAAGCCACGGCUAACUCUGUGCCAGCAGCCGCGGUAAGACAGAGGUGGCAAGCGUUGCUCGGAUUCAUUGGGUGUAAAGGGUCGGUAGGCGGUCCGAUAAGUGCCUGGUGAAAUUCUACGGCUUAACCGUAGCGCGCCCAGGUAUACUGCCGGACUUGAGGACUGGAGGGGCAGGCGGAAUUCCCGGUGUAAGAGUGAAAUCUGUAGAUAUCGGGAGGAACACCAGUGGCGAAGGCGGCCUGCUGGACAGUCCCUGACGCUGAGCGACGAAAGCGUGGGGAGCAAACAGGAUUAGAUACCCGCGUAGUCC
rnacentral:rRNA from 1 species